rnacentral:rRNA from 1 species
GUCUAUGACCAUGCCACCCUGAACAAGCCCGAUCCCAUCUGAUCUUGGAAGCUAAGCAGGGUAAGGCCUGGUUAGUACUUAGAUGGGAGACCACCUAGGAAGACCAGGUGCUGUAGAUG